GACGAACGCUGGCGGCGUGCUUAACACAUGCAAGUCGAGCGGUAAGGCCCUUUGGGGUACACGAGCGGCGAACGGGUGAGUAACACGUGAGUAAUCUGCCUUUGGCUUGGGAAUAACUUCGGGAAAUCGGGGCUAAUGCCUGAUGUUUACUGUCUGCUGCAUGGUGGGUGGUGGAAAGAUUUUUUGGCCAGGGAUGAGCUCGCGGUCUAUCAGCUUGUUGGUGGGGUAAUGGCUUACCAAGGCUUUGACGGGUAGCCGGCCUGAGAGGGUGUUCGGCCACACUGGGACUGAGACACGGCCCAGACUCCUACGGGAGGCAGCAGUGGGGAAUAUUGCGCAAUGGGCGUAAGCCUGACGCAGCGACGCCGCGUGGGGAUGAAGGCCUUC
rnacentral:rRNA from 1 species